AGCGCAGCACCAUGACCAAGCCACCUUGUCAAUGGCAGGUCAUCGGAAACCCCUACCACAUGACUGGCAUUCCAAAAACUCCUGGAACUGAGUAAAAUUAACAUUAACUUUAAGUGCCCACUCUCGUGACUAAGGAAUGAGAAGAUAUCCACACCGUAAGCUGUGGAGUUUGUGAAGUGCACAAUCAGCACUUAAUGGUGGAACGCAAAGGGAUGGCUCCACGGAUACGCUUCACAUACGCUUGGUACUCGCUGUAGUGCAUGGUGUACAGAGAGCUCUGAUACCGAGUGAUGCGGAACUUGCGUCUCAUGGACUCUGUGAUUUGUCCCGAGUAUCCCGCCUUCCGGACAAGAGAAUCCACUGUUUCUAUUUUCGUCCAUCCUACGCAAUAGCCCAAUUUCGCCGUUUCGUAAGCCUCGAACUGACCAGUAGACAGUAGAAAAUAGGAAGAAAACUUCUAAACUUCAUAAGCAUGAUAUGACGGCAUUAUUGUAUAACGCUUCGCACAGACGAUGACUCAGACACAAUGAAGUAACGAAGCUACUGUGUUGAGGCUAAAGCAGCAGACAACCAGGACGUAGAUUAAAAUGUCUACCUUCCUGCGCGGCAACCUCGGGUAAAUAGGUGGCACUCCUCCUCGUGCCGUCAGGGUCGGUGAACUCUAAAAUCAUUCCAUGUUCGCCAAUCUAAAAUCCAGAGCCAAGACAAAUGGUCGUAACGAUGUUCUCUAACACAACUCCUACAGCUAACUCAAAUCCUAACUCAAAUACAUAAAAACAAAAAAUAGGAAGAAAAAACUUGUGCGCACUACAUACAGGAGCCAAAUAAUAAUAAUAGUAAUCUUCAAGGUUACCUGAUACCCUGUGAGUUAAACAAUCAGGCGGGACAGGUUUCUAUUAAAAAAAACAAACAAUCAAAAAAGUAAAUUAUGUCCUGCGUACCUCCCAGUCAAGGUAAUGAGCUGCGGUUUCGUAAUCUGUUAAGAGUGACACCGUGCAUUCCAAGUAAGGGAGCUCGCGUGCCUGAAUUGGAGGGAAGCGGCGGUCUCGGAGAGCACUGCAAAAUAAAACUUCUCUGUUUAAGAUCCCUAUGUAAUACCCAUCACAGCACAUUCAUCAAAGCACCUGAUGGAUCUGCACCACCCCCAAAUUUAAGGGAGACAAAAACAGCAAUGUGAAGGUGAUCGAGUGGCCAGUAUGGUAAAAACAGACAGAAAAAUCCCGAAUAAACGAAGAAACAGUCCAGUCCAGAGCUGAACUAACUACCUUGUGAGCGCAUAAUCUUUGAACCCGGUGAUGAUAUAUCGGGCUUCAAGCGUGCCAAUGCACCCCCGCAAGCGUGGUUCCCCACCAUUCAAUACUUUCUUCCAUGUAACAAAUAAAGGGCUGUCACAGAACCCACAAAUCACAGUCAACACCCAAACUCUGAAAACAUACGCUCCGGCGAAUUGGGACUCUCUGAAGACAUACAUGCGGUAAACAAGCCCUGAACUUGGACCGCCAUGAUACCCAACCCUGGGCAACAAUUCUCACCACACGGAGACAGAUACAGAACGAAUAAGAACGCGUUACACCUAUGUCAUUUCAAUAUUAAUUUUAGCAGAGAGGACGGGACAAGAAAACAUGGGAAUCCUCAGCAGCAUAAGCAAUUACACUGAUACCCAUGAAUAGACAUGAUAGAGAGAGUCACGCAACCCUAAACAAUGAGGACAGAGACACCAAGCAUACAGCGUCAAAUUCCAUGAAAAGUGGUUGAUAAGAGUAUAAAAGGUGGAAAACAAAGAGCAGUUCGACACGUCUGCUUACAUGGAACUGCAAUGCUCAAGAGAAACAAUCAGGUUGGCAACCACGAGGUAAGUACCACAACAAAGACCAGCAGUAACUAAAAUCCCAGUGACAAAAGAACCACGAUGUACCCGAACAGAAGACAGCAGGCACACGGAGAAGAAAAAGGCUGUCUCUACAUGCCCAGCCUACUCGCUAUGGAAACAAAAAUAUAGCUCCAACAAGCGAGAAUUCAUGAAGGAGAUUGAGUAACAACGAACAACAAUGGAAACUUCCCAUACCUGAACAACAAGACAUGAUACUAAAGGGAAAGUCAACAUGGAAAAAGAGAAUUGAAGGAAAUACAAACAAGCAUGCAAGGAGAGAAAGUAAUAAGAAUAAUAAUAAUAAUUGGAAAAGCGCGAAGCUUACAACUGCCCUUCUUCGAACGCAGGUGGGGGUACAGCAUCGCCCGUGUAAUGGGCGACUAGCGUGUCAAAGCAAUAGGCCGCCAUCUCCAUGCUGGCAGACACCAUCUUCACCCACUUGCCCUCGCCUUCUUCCUCCCCCGCAAUUCUUACGAUACUGUCACCAAUCCAUGCAACCAAAGCCCGCCCGCACUUGGACCACCACUCCACCCUCCUCUCCUCUACCUCUCCCGAAACGCGACCACUCUCACAAUCUCUGCUUCCCCCAACAAAAGCUUAUCAACCCAAUCCACCAAGUCAGCGCCAACAAGUCUCCAAUACUUCCCACGCUGCACCCCACAACCCAAUUCAACCCCGCCCUUCUACGACAACAAGGCAAACCCACUCCCCACGAACGAUGCCGAUCCAAUCGAGGUUUAGCCUGUACUUUAAGGCUGCGGGAAGGGGGGAGGGGAGGGGGGCUGUGUCACGACACGGAGAACAACAACACAACGAUGGCGGAGGGGAGAGAAUCCCACGCCAAGGUGCUACUUCCACACAGGAAUUUCCGCAGCAUUGUGACUCUCACGCAUCCUCCCUUCCCUUCCUCUAAAUCCCCAUCGUCACUUCCAACGCACAUCCCUAAAUAGUUCCCCCCGAGGGCGUCAUCACCCCUUUUCCUUCAUCUGCCCCCCCCUUGGGUUGCCCUGGCCCUGGUCCUGCCUGCCCACCCCUUCCCUUCCCAUCCCCCCUCGCUUGCUGUGGGUUCUUCGGUUGGUUCGGUUGGUUGGUUCUUCACGGUCCCGCUUCCGGCACGCUUCCUGCCUCCGCCUUGAUUGCCGGAAUCAUUGCCCUGUGCCGUCUUUGGAUCUUCACCAGCCCACUACAAAUACUAAUACUACUAAUACUACUUCUUUGACUAGGAGGAGGAAGAAUCGCUACCACCAUUCUCCACCAUUCUCCACCAUCCUCAUCUUCAUCAUUAAAGCUGUGCACACCAUCGCCAUUCCAUCCGCCAUCAUUACUGUGUGCCUUUCGGGGGAGGGGGGAGAGAGGCACGGCGUGCUCCAGAUCCCCAUGCCCGGACGGGAUCACCUACCGACGGACGGGGGUGAUGGAGUGGAUGGAUGUGUGGAUGGAUGCCUAGUUCUUAAUUCCGUGCUGCUCUUCGCCGAUAGGAACGCCCUCCCUUCAUGGGCUUUUGCCUUUUCCUGGCGGACACGUCACUAGCGUGCCCUUGCAUGCGUCGUUCCCCUCUGUUCCACUUCGUUCUGAAUUGGGAUGCCCUACAGUUCUUUUUACGUUCGCUGUGGGUUGGGAACGUGGUUCGGUCUUUGCAGGGUUGGGUUUGGAAAUAGAGGGUUGGACAACCGAGCCGUCAAGUCAAAGUCUCCCUCAUGAAGAGGAGGAGGAGGCCUAGUUGGCUUUCAUAUCUACCACUUCCUUUUUUUUUCCUAUUCUUUUUUUUUCUUUUUCUUUUUCUUUUUCUUUUUGGGUACUUUUGGGGGAAUUUUCCAAAGAUGCAUGUAGUAUGUGCACAUACUAUUUCUGCAAUACUAAUAAUAAUUACUGUUAGAAUGACAUAACAUAAAUACUUGCAUUUGAGCUUUUAAUGAGUUUUAUUAUUUUGUAUAUGAUACAUGAACAAGGUUUUAUUUGGAAAUAACCACAUAAGAUAUAUAUCAACAUUAACAAAUAAAUAAAUUUCAUUCAAAUAUGGUAUUCCAUUAAAUUCCUAAAGGAAAAAAAUAGAUUAUAUUAAAUUACAACUCAAAUAAUAAUUAAGACUUACACUUGUUUUUCUCUACUCAAUAUUAGAAGUAGUGAACCACAAAAUUGUUUGUGAAAAGCUGUUGAAAUUAAUGAAAAAGCAUUAUUCAAGUAUACUUGACAUAUGAAUUAAAAAAAAAUGAUAAAUAAAAGUAAUUGUUCAAUUGAUCCACCUAUCAUCAUUGAUUAAGGUUGAAACCAUUUUUUUUCAUUGCAAUUUGACCAAUGUUGAUUUGGUAGUUGAGAAUUUUUUUGAUGAUUGUAAUGAUGGGUGGGUCAAUUUGAUAGAUGCUUGGGUCAAUUCAAAAAUACAUCAAAAUUUAAGAUUUUGUAAAAUAAAAAAUCAGUUAAAAAAUAAAAAAUACACAUAAAUAUAUAAUAAAUCAAACUAAAACUAUAUAUAUAAUAUAAAUAUAUAUAUAUAUAUAUAUAAAAACACAUAUAACUAUUGAUUCUUUAGUAUCAAUUUAUUAUAUGAAACCACAAAAAAUUAAUAAUACAAAAUAAUAAAAUAAGAAUUUUAAUUCCAUUCUUAGAAAAAAAAAAAAAAAAAAAAAACUAAUAAGUUAUAUAUAUAUAUAUAUAUAUAUAUAUAUAUAUUGGUUGCACAACUCUUUAAAUAUCAUUAUUUUUUACAUCUUCAUUUAAAAUUUAACAUUUAAAAUUUUUAUAUUUCAACAUAUUUUUGAAAAAAAAAAAAAAAAGUAAAAUAAGUAUUAAGUUAAAUUAAAAUCACAACUUUAGUAUUGUUCCAUGAUUUAUAAGAUUUUGUACUCUUUUCACUUUCUAAACCAACAGUCUUUAUAAUGUUAUAUUUAGAAUAAAACUCAUACACACACACAUAUAUAUAUAUAUAUAUAGAUUUUUACUUCAUUACAUAAUUACUUAGAAUAGUAAUAAUCCAUAACUUUAAAAAAUACAUAUUUACUUAAAGAUAUGAAAUUAAGAUAGUAAAUUAGAGAAAAACUAUGAAUAAAUUAAAAAUUAAAUGAAAAAGAGUCAUAAUAUAUGUAAUUUGAUGAAAUGAUAAGAAGCAAACGGUGCACAUUUUGUAGAUAAUGUUAAU
rnacentral:lncRNA from 1 species